rnacentral:rRNA from 1 species
UACGUAGGGGGCGAGCGUUGUCCGGAUUUAUUGGGCGUAAAGAGCUCGUAGGCGGUUUGGUAAGUCGGGUGUGAAAUCUCCACGCUCAACGUGGAGGGGCCACUCGAUACUGCCAUGACUCGAGUCCGGUAGAGGAGUGUGGAAUUCCCGGUGUAGCGGUGAAAUGCGCAGAUAUCGGGAGGAACACCCGUAGCGAAGGCGGCACUCUGGGCCGGAACUGACGCUGAGGCACGAAAGCGUGGGGAGCAAACAGG